rnacentral:rRNA from 1 species
CCCUUAGAUGUUCUGGGCCGCACGCGCGCUACACUGAUGCAUUCAACGAGCCUAUCCUUGACCGACAGGUCCGGGUAAUCUUUGAAUCUGCAUCGUGACGGGGAUAGAUUAUUGCAAUUAUUAAUCUUCAACGAGGAAUGCCUAGUAGGCGCAAGUCAUCAGCUUGCGUCGAUUACGUCCCUGCCCUUUGUACACACCGCCCGUCGCUCCUACCGAUUGGGUGUGCUGGUGAAACGUUCGGAUCGGCCGUUUGUCGCGGUUUCCGCGUCAUGUGGCUGAGAAGUUCAUUAAACCCUCCCACCGAGAGGAAGGAGAAGUCGUAACA